GGGGAGCAUGAGAAUGGCGCAGCCGGUGAGGAUGAUCCAGGAACGCUGCAGGUAGAUGCCCAUCAUGUGGUACUGCUUCGCCCCGUACGACUGCCCGCACAGCGUCUCCAGCGCGCUUGCCAUGCCCAGCUGCAUUCAGUUGAAGCACGCGAAGACUCUGAAAUCCGUGAACCGGUGCAAAUUGCAAUGGCAACUGCACUGAAACAGAAAGGUUGAGAUUUUGCAUGAAAAAGUCUCUGGAAAUGCUUGCCCAGGGGACGCGAACAAACAUGGUGUUAGUUAAUUCAGACUGGGCGAAUUUCAUCGUUGAUUGUUCUCGCCAAAAGUCCGGUGGGGCUGUUCCGUUUGGACACACUGACAGCGAGUACUCUACAUUACCUGAACAAGUAAGACUCUAAUGACUCACUGACAGCGAGUAGUCUACAUUACCUGUGCAAGUAAGGCUCUAAUGUUCCUGUGCAAGUCCAUAUCAGACUGAACUUCGUCUUUUAAGAAAUUAUUAAGAACAUGGUGCCAAACAUGGACCACGACAUAGUUGGCGUGUAAGUUUCGCCCGCACAUUUUCCUAUCAUGUUUGUCUCGCAUAUCAUUAUCAAAAUAUAUGCCACUUAAAGCUAGAGAUACAACGCUCCUACUCCUUAUUCCUCCGAGAUUGUUUAAGUUACGAUGAAACUGGCAACGCGCUGAAGCAGCUGGUUUGAUUGAAGUUCCUAGAUCAGAAAACCAGAGCGCGCUAUCUGCAUUCAGCCGAAGCACAUCUUAGUUGAACUGUUAAAAACCAUGAGCCUUUUUGUCCUUUGCAGAAAUUUGUCACUGCUGCAGCGAAGAAGACUCUGAGAUCUCUGAACUGGUUUAUGGCCCAGCGCCACAGGAGUUACUAGAUUGGGAUUUUUCAGAUUUGUCUCUGGAAACUCUGGGCCAGGACUUUGGAGGCACGAACGCAGUGUAAAAUAAAUUACUACAGUAGUUGAGACCACGUCAGGCGGAUGGAAAAGAAAUUAAUGCCCUACGUGGCUGUCUGUGCUCCCAAGAAGUCCAGCGGGGCUAGCUGCCCCGUUUUGACACUGAGACUGCUCAUAGUGGGAGUAACAUAGCUAGUAACAUCACACAUCUCAAGGCAUUUUGGUGACAUGGCAUGCGAAUAAAUGAAGAAAGAGAGUGAGGUGGUAACUAGCUAUGUUACCAUAACAUCACAGGCAAAAUGAGUCUACAACAUAAUAAAUGACACAAUACAUGACAUCACAUAUAAGUUACUACCCACUAUGAAGGUAGUAACCUAGACUAGUAACAUGACAUAUGUUACUAGUCUAAGUUAUUCCCCACUAUGAGCAGCCUGACAUCGAGUGCUUGACAUUUCGUGUACAAAGUAAUUUAUACCAGUAUUCCCGUGCAAGCCGACAUCGAACUGAGCUUUUGUGUUUCCAAGAAUUAAGAAUACGGUGCCAAACAUACAUGGACCACGAUCGACGCAGCUGGCGUAUAAAAUUCGCCCGCGUAUAUGUUGUCAUUUUUGGCACAUAUCGUUAUCGAAUUAUGUACGCUAUUUAAAGCUGGAGAUACGGGUGUUCCUUUUUUGUUUUUUGAGUACAGGAGACACGGGUGUUCCUAGUCCUAACUACUCCAUCGUUUUUAUGUUAGUAGGAUGAUGAAACCGGCAACGGAGUGAAAUCAGAGGCGAGCUCCUGGUUUGAAGGUCUUUGAUCAGAAACUAGUCCUAGACAAAUCAAGCAGUUUAAUUAUGGUCAAACCUUGGCUUUAAGUGUGUUGUUAGCAAUGUUUGACAGGACUAGCGAUAUAACAAUUGAUGUGUGCCACGUAUCGCUAUCAAA